rnacentral:miRNA from 10 species
UCUAUAUAUAUGUGUAUAUAUGUAUAUAUAUACAUAUAUGUGAUAUAUAUACACAUAUAUAUGUGAUAUAUAUACACACACAUAUGUGUAUAUAUGUAUAUAUAUA